rnacentral:rRNA from 1 species
AUUGAACGCUGGCGGCAUGCCUUACACAUGCAAGUCGAACGGUAACAGGUCUUCGGAUGCUGACGAGUGGCGGACGGGUGAGUAAUACAUCGGAACGUGCCCGAUCGUGGGGGAUAACGGAGCGAAAGCUUUGCUAAUACCGCAUACGAUCUACGGAUGACAGCAGGGGACCGCAAGGCCUUGCGCGGACGGAGCGGCCGAUGGCAGGGUAGGUCGUUGGUGGGAUAAAAGCUUACCAAGCCGACGAUCUGUAGCUGGUCUGAGAGGACGACCAGCCACACUGGGACUGAGACACGGCCCAGACUCCUACGGGAGGCAGCAGUGGGGAAUUUUGGACAAUGGGCGAAAGCAUGAUCCAGCCAUGCCGCGUGCAGGAUGAAGGCCUUCGGGUUGUAAACUGCUUUUGUACGGAACGAAAAGACUCUUUCUAAUAAAGAGGGUCCAUGACGGUACCGUAAGAAUAAGCACCGGCUAACUACGUG